rnacentral:ncRNA from 1 species
GGUCAGGUGUCGCAGACUUAAUAGAGAAGACCGGUGCAAUGCCGGCGCGGUCCCGCCGCUGUAAGGAUGAGCUAUGCUGCAUAAUGUCACUGUGCCCCAUAGGCAUGGGAAGGCGCAGCGGAGCGAUGAAUCCGAGCCAGAAGAACUGCCUGACUG